AAAGUAUCUGGCUGAAUGGGCAGCUCCUGUGCUUGACCUCACACCUCCUCAGUCAGCAGAUCCAGGGGCUUUGCCCAGGCUCUGUCAGGGGGCUGCACAAGGAGGGAGUACUCGCUCCUCCUGUUCUUGCACAAGUGAUGAUGAAAAUGGACUGUGUUAGGGUAGUCCAGAGACUGGGAAGACGUGAGGUUGUCUGGGGCUGGUCAGCCAUGUGUGCAGCAGCUUGGCACUGCACUGAGCUGCAGUGCUCAGGGAGGUCCUUGUGCUGGAAAGCAGUCAUUUCAUCUCCCUCGAGCUCUGGAAAAGCUGGUACCUACAGAGCACAGGGUUUCCUGGAAUUGCUAAUACACCUUUUCUAGCAGGAAGUUCACUGUGAAUCCACCCUGGUGCUAGGUGAGACAAGAAAUGCUCUGGGGACAAUAGGGCUCUGAAUUUCCUGUCAGUAUUACUCUCAGCAGUUCAACUCCAGAUCUAAUGUGAGCCAGAGUACAGCUCCUCACUGUGGAUGGGGGGAAAUUCAACUCAACAGAUAUUUUCCUUGCCUACAAUACCAGGUUUCUACUACCUGAGGGCACAGGGGACAACUGAAAGGAAAAUUGAAAAGAAGCAUGGUGCAAUUAUCAGCCAGCUUCUGUUCUCUUAAGUUCAUUAUUUUCUUUAGCCAAAACAAAUUAUAAUCCAAGACAAGUUCUGAAUUUGUAAAAUUAAGUUCUUGGCUUCUGUGAAGAUAAGCAUUUUUUCUCUUUUCCCUCUUGACCUUGUUUUCAAACUACCUUUCUUAUUAAUAUUUUUUUAACAUGAAUGAAAAGUUGUCCAUGUAUAGAUUAUCUUUCCAUCCUAAUUUCAUCUGGCACAGCAGGCUUCUUGUGGAGCUAUUCUUACAGGAGGUAAUGUGCACCAUGGGCGUGCUCUGGCAGUGAGGAGAGGGCAGCACUGGAGGAGGCUGUGCGGCCACUCCUGACAUUCCACCCACAGAAAUGCCGGGGAACGCGUGUUAGUUUAACUCCUGCUCACCUAGACUUGGUGCCUAGAGCUUCCCAUGGAGCAGCGCACAGGAUCUAACCUGAAGCUGUCAGAC
rnacentral:lncRNA from 1 species